GAUGAAGAACGUAGCGAAAUGCGAUAAGUAAUGUGAAUUGCAGAAUUCAGUGAAUCAUCGAAUCUUUGAACGCAUCUUGCGCUCCUUGGUAUUCUGAGGAGCAUGCCUGUUUGAGUGUCAUUAAAUUCUCACCUACACUGACUUUGAAUUGGUGUGGCUUGGAUUUGGGGGGAAAAUUGUUGUGGGCUUUUUGUAUAGUCUGCUCCCCUGAAAUUGAUUAGCGGUACCUUUGUGGAACUGUCUACAGGUGUGAUAAUUAUCUACAUCUUAGACAUCUGCUGGAAUGCUGCUUUCUAAACCUUACUUGUAUUGACAAUCUUGACCUCAAAUCAGGUAGGACUACCCGCUGAACUUAAGCAUAUCAAUAAGCGGAGGA
rnacentral:misc_RNA from 1 species